AUUGAACGCUGGCGGCAGGCCUAACACAUGCAAGUCGAGCGGAUGAAGGGAGCUUGCUCCUGGAUUCAGCGGCGGACGGGUGAGUAAUGCCUAGGAAUCUGCCUGGUAGUGGGGGAUAACGUCCGGAAACGGGCGCUAAUACCGCAUACGUCCUGAGGGAGAAAGUGGGGGAUCUUCGGACCUCACGCUAUCAGAUGAGCCUAGGUCGGAUUAGCUAGUUGGUGGGGUAAAGGCCUACCAAGGCGACGAUCCGUAACUGGUCUGAGAGGAUGAUCAGUCACACUGGAACUGAGACACGGUCCAGACUCCUACGGGAGGCAGCAGUGGGGAAUAUUGGACAAUGGGCGAAAGCCUGAUCCAGCCAUGCCGCGUGUGUGAAGAAGGUCUUCGGAUUGUAAAGCACUUUAAGUUGGGAGGAAGAGCAGUAAGUUAAUACCUUGCUGUUUUGACGUUACCAACAGAAAAAGCACCGGCUAACUUCGUG
rnacentral:rRNA from 1 species